rnacentral:lncRNA from 1 species
GUAAAAAUGGUGUUUUGAGGACUACGAGUUUGGGUACUCAGGCGGCACAAACAGAUGGUUUUAAGCUUGCGGAAUAACAUCGUACUUCUAUUAAAUCAGGUGGGUUCCAUUAGGUAAACUCUCACUUAAUAGAGUAGCUUUAUUAGCUUUCCCCCAAAUUCAUGAUGCAUGUCAACUUAUGAUUUUAGGAUUAAUUAGGAUAACUCUAUAAUUGAACUAAUUAAUGAUUUAAACAAGCCCUUAAGAUGAUUGAAAUGACUGUAUGUUGUGGAAUUUAGGAUAAACCAGAGGGGGUGGAUUUUGAUCUAGCUUGAAGGUUUUGAUCAUCUGUUAUAAGAGGUAGUUAUCUUCUUGUAUCUCUUUAUAUCUCCAAUUUGGUUUUUAGAUUUACAGUUCAGAUUACUUCUUAUUGGCUACUGAUUUGAUUUACAAGUUUGAUUGAAAAAAAUGUAAUAACAUGUAUAUAGUAUUUAUACCGGCGAGGAAGAGAGUUCCUGCCGAGAGAGUUGCAGUGGCAGUUCACGGUGACACCGCGGUGCUUGGCGAUGGAGGUGAUGAAGCCCUUUUCUCCUUCUUUACUCUGGUUCCAUAUGUUACUUUCUAUACUCUAUUUAUUUGAUUUUUUUCCUGUUGUUUUCUGCUUUGUUUGUUUUAUUCUAGCCUAUUUUUUUCCACCCUUCAUUCUCUUCCUAACCAAAAUCAAAAUGGAUGCAGGGUCCUAUCCUUCAUUUUCCAUUCUUCUUUUCAUUGCAGCAAUCAUAACUGCUUAUUAUCAUUCAGCUGAAGCAGCUAUGUCUAAAGGAUCUUUUGAAGAUAAUUUCAGCAUAAUGUUGUCCCANNN